GGGCAUGUGAGCCCUUUCUCCAAGGAGACAAGGAACUCUUCUAAGGCCUUAUGUUUAGUCUGGAGGUAGUGUGAUAGCUGGAGGGCAGGGUUCAGGCUCUGGGCUCGUUUGUGCUUCCUUUUUUGGGAGUUAAUCAGCUCACCUCCUCUUCUGGCAGUGCCAUUGACUUCUUCUCUGCUCUUGAUUUUUACCUUUUUCUUUGCUUAUUUUUUUUCUUUAGCCACUUUUAUUUGCUUUUGUUUUCUCUUUUUUCUUUAACAUGUGUUCAUUACUUAUUGUUCAACUAUUUUUGCACUUCCUACAGUGAGCAUAGCUGUUACUUAGCAGGGUGUGGUCUUAUGCAUGAUUAGUAUGUGGAGAUGGAGAUGGUGAUGCUAUUAUUAGCACUGUCAGUGUAGUUAGCAAGUCAGCAUGAUGCAGGACUUCAGGGCCAUAGCUACCAGGGGUCUCAGAGCAGUCCAUCCCAAGGAACCAGGCUGAGUACCUUCCUUGAGUUGAAGAUAGUCCAUCAUACCUGACUGGGACUGGAUGGGCUGGUGAUAGCAUAUGGUUAAGAAGCACAAGCCCACUACUCUCCAGCCUCCUUGGACUUUUCCAGAAGUUGAACACACUGAAGACCUUAAACUAGCCAGGUAUACUGCGGUACCGGAGGUGACAGGUGGGGAGGAUGCCCUCUAGUUAUCAUGGGAACUUGAGGGGAACAGAUGUAUUCUGGCAACUUCUGCACCGCUCGCACCCGCGCCUGCUGAGAGAGGGCUGUUCUGCUUUGUCAAGUCGUGCACCCUGCUGUGCAGCUCUGCCACCAGAAAGACAUCUUACACAGAAACUUGAGCCAAAGCACCUUCUUGUGGACACCCAAGCCUGUCCACCUCCAGCUAGCCAAAUGGCCCUGCUUCUGAGAAACGGCCCUGCUGCCUCCAGCCUCAACACCAGAGGUGGAAACAAGAGCCCCUGACAGAGUGCUCGGUCAGCUAUUACUGGGUUCUCUUGGGGUCGCAGAAGCAGUCUGGAUGCGAGGUUGCCAAAGCCAGGGAAGACGUCGGCCAAGCACUAGGCGUAUGGACAAGAACAGUGCCCCCGGUUUGUUGCUUCCCUAGCAGCUGAUCGUAGCUGCACGGGGAGGGAAAAGCCAGACAUGCCAAGCCCCGCCCGACAGUCUUGGAGGCUGUCCUGUGGGAGGUACCUGCUCCUCCCCCUCAAAGUUCUGAGGGAAGCAGACCACCAUGAUCUGGUGAUGGUGAUGUUCCUGGUGACGGAUCCAGUGACUGGAGCCAACGGGAAAGCCCUGAGAUUGAAUCCAGUUCUGUUUCGCACUGGCCACCAACCUUACUGCUUCCUUAGCUAAUGCUCCUGAGUUGGAGGCGAUGAGGUGGUUUGUUUGAGACACACGUCCGCCAUCCCCUGGGGCUGCCAGCGCCUGAGAAUAAACUGGGUUUUUCUUUGCACCAAUACUUGCAUCUUGAGUUAAUUGGUCUUUUGAGAAUAAGCAGCAAACCUUGGCAUUUAGCAACAAGAAAACCCCCUGUCAUCUGGGACUUUGUAAACUUGUCAUUCUUUUCUGAUAUUCUUCCCAACAAAGCAAGUCAUAACUGGUUUUGUGAUCAUAAAUUAUUUUCUAAAGAUA